UUGUCCGGUUUUUACAAAGGGAUGAGAACCCCGGGUUCGAGCCGAGCGAUGCGCAGCAUAGCGAGACAGCAACGCCGCAGGCGUUGACCCCGCAGGGGUGAGGAGCGCUGCGACGAAUAAUCCCCUUGGGGACGCCA
rnacentral:sRNA from 1 species